AUUGAACGCUGGCGGCAGGCCUAACACAUGCAAGUCGAGCGGAUGAAGGGAGCUUGCUCCUGGAUUCAGCGGCGGACGGGUGAGUAAUGCCUAGGAAUCUGCCUGGUAGUGGGGGAUAACGUCCGGAAACGGGCGCUAAUACCGCAUACGUCCUGAGGGAGAAAGUGGGGGAUCUUCGGACCUCACGCUAUCAGAUGAGCCUAGGUCGGAUUAGCUAGUUGGUGGGGUAAAGGCCUACCAAGGCGACGAUCCGUAACUGGUCUGAGAGGAUGAUCAGUCACACUGGAACGGAGACACGGUCCAGACUCCUACGGGAGGCAGCAGGGGGGAAUAUUGGACAAUGGGCGAAAGCCUGAUCCAGCCAUGCCGCGUGUGUGAAGAAGGUCUUCGGAUUGUAAAGCACUUUAAGUUGGGAGGAAGGGCAGUAAGUUAAUACCUUGCUGUUUUGACGUUACCAACAGAAUAAGCACCGGCUAACUUCGUG
rnacentral:rRNA from 1 species